CGGGGAUGGGUGGGGCUCGGGGUGGGGUGGAGGUUUGAGAGGCGAUUGGAUUUUCAAAAUCAAUCAUUAUCUGUUCUUUCUCUUCUUUAUCAGUAGCCAGGAAGUACCUGAUCAGCCGCUUAGAAUUGGAGCAGUUUCUGUGUAUUCCAGCUCAUUUAGGAAAAAACGUUUUGGGCUUACAAACCUGAGAAUUAAGCUGGCUUUCUUCUUUCUUUCUCUUUCUUUUCUUUCUUUCUUUCUUUCUUUCUUUCUUUCUUUCUUUCUUUCUUUCUUUCUUUCUUUCUUUCUUUCUUUCCUUCUUUCUUCUUUCUUCUUGCUUGCUUGCUUCUUUCUCUCUCUUUCUUUCAAGAUUUAUGUGUUUAUUUUAUUUAUUUAUUUUUUUAAAAGAUUUUAUUUAUUUAUUUGAGACAGAGAGAAUGAGAGACAGAGAGCAUGAGAGGGAGGAGGGUCAGAGGGAGAAGCAGACUCCCUGCCGAGCAGGGAGCCUGAUGUGGGACUCGAUCCCGAGACUCCAGGAUCAUGACCUGAGCCGAAGGCAGUCGCUUAACCAACUGAGCCACCCAGGCGCCCGAUUUAUGUGUUUAUUUUUAGGGGUGGAGAGGAAGAGAGAGAAUCCCCAGCAGACUCCCCUCCCCAACUGAGCCCAGAGGGGCCUCAAUCCCAGGACCCCAAGAUCACCACCCAAGCUGAAACCAAGAGCCAGACCAUGGAGAGAACCUUCUCAGCUAAGUGCAGGGGUCAUUUAUCCUGACACCCGAAGCACUCUCCGGGAGACACAAGCUCUACCACUCCUCCCUGCAUCUGGAAGGUAAUGAUAAUAUUCUUCACCUACCCCAGAGUCAGACGAUGGAAUGAGAAAGAAAUACUAUGACCACUAAUGUCUGGUGUUUAUUGACAACUUACUAUACAUCAGACACUGUUCUGCGUGCUACACAUACAACCCCAGUGAAGGCUUCCAGAACUCUAUGAAGAGACCAAGGACACAGAGAAGAAUUACAGAGGUCAGAAGAAGAUGAACCGGAUCGUGUUUAACAUCCAGCGUCCGUCCUGACAAGGGUCCAGUCUCACCAGAAAGGAGCGGGCAGCCUCCAGGACAUGGUGAAGAAUGUUCCCUCCUGGCUGCGUCAGGCACACAUGGCUGGCCCAAAAUGAGACCAGGAUGCAGCUCCUGGUUGAACCUGCUGGAUGUGUGCAGACACCAGGUAGAGAAGCACAGAGCUGGAGAGUGCUCCAGGGUCACGCCCAGGUUUCUCCCCUGUGGGUUCUCUACACUGGAAUCUUCUGGACUUGCAAUAGCGGAGGACAUCCUUGCCCCCACAUGGACCAGCUUCACCGCAGGGAGAGUCUCAGCCUCCUUGCCGCUCCUCCCCUGGCUCUCUGCUCCCACCUGCCCCACUACAAGCCAAAUCGCUGUGCCCAGGGAGGAAGAAACAGUCCAUCGAAACUGAUCCAGGAGGCGACUGCAGAGUCUUAAGGUCUCACCG